UACGUAGGGUGCGAGCGUUGUCCGGAAUUAUUGGGCGUAAAGGGCUCGUAGGCGGAUCGUUAAGUCGGGGGUGAAAUCCUGGAGCUCAACUCCAGAACUGCCUUCGAUACUGGCGAUCUUGAGUCCGGAAGAGGUGAGUGGAACUCCUAGUGUAGAGGUGGAAUUCGUAGAUAUUAGGAAGAACACCAGUGGCGAAGGCGGCUCACUGGUCCGGUACUGACGCUGAGGUGCGAAAGCGUGGGGAGCAAACAGGG
rnacentral:rRNA from 1 species